rnacentral:rRNA from 1 species
UGGGGAAUAUUACACAAUGGAGGGAACUCUGAUGCAGCGACGCCGCGUGAACGAAGAAGGCUUUCGAGUCGUAAAGUUCUUUUAUAUGGGAAGAUAAUGACGGUACCAUAAGAAGAAGCCCCGGCUAACUACGUGCCAGCAGCCGCGGUAAUACGUAGGGGGCUAGCGUUGUCCGGAAUCACUGGGCGUAAAGGGUUCGCAGGCGGAAAUGCAAGUCAGGUGUAAAAGGCAGUAGCUUAACUACUGUAAGCAUUUGAAACUGCAUAUCUUGAGAAGAGUAGAGGUAAGUGGAAUUUUUAGUGUAGCGGUGAAAUGCGUAGAUAUUAAAAAGAAUACCGGUGGCGAAGGCGACUUACUGGGCUCAUUCUGACGCUGAGGAACGAAAGCGUGGGUAGCAAACAGG